GGUAGCGUCGUCGAGCGGUCCAAGGCGCUGGUUUAAGGCACCAGUCUCUUCGGGGGCAUGGGUUCGAAUCCCAUCGCUGCCA
rnacentral:tRNA from 1 species